CCCGGCCGAGCCCUCAGGGCACCACCGAGAGGGCGGGACUGUGGCUGCUGAGGUACCGCCAUAACGACCGGGGAAAGCACCGGGAAAAACACCGGGACAGGUGUACCGGGUGCCACGGAGAGCCCUCCAGGGUGAAGAAAAAUAUCAUGGAUACUGUGACUGCAUCUGUUUGCACGAUAUAAUCGACGCCCACUGUGAUGUUGACUUUAUGGAGGGACCAGCGUUUUCUUUGCCCAGACCUGCGGGCAGGGGAAGGGACGCCGCUUUCCACUCCGCACCCAGUUCAGAAACAAAAGCAGCGAUUGUCCGGCUGAGAGCGCCUCCGCCGCUCCGCAGGGACCGUGUCCCAUCCCGGCCGCUGGAAAAGCGCUGUCCCCGUUCCUCGGGCUGUGCCCGGGGCUGUCGCAGCGCCGGGAGCCAGGGCAGGUGCUCGGUGUCCCGGGAAGGGCUCCCCGGUUCAGGUGUGCCCGCACCGGGGAUUCGUGCUCAGGUUUGUGUUUCCCGGCUCCAUUAGCUGGCCUAACGAGGUAAUGACACCCCUGUCCGGCCCUGGCCUUUCCCAGGUCACCGAGCUGCUUUAAAGGCUGUUUUAGAGAAUAAACUAAUUAGCCAGCAGCGUUCACUGCUGUGUUUAACAACCCCUCAGUGCCUAUUACAGGUGAGAGCAGCGGCUGAGCCACAGCUGCUCCUGCCAAGGACAGGGAGUGGAUCCCAUGGGACUCCCACCCUCUCACACUGCCAGUGGGUGCUGCCUGGCCAAGGCCUUCCAGACCCUGCAGCAGUUGGUGAAGCCACGGGAACACCAUGGGAAUUAAACCUAACUGUGCCACCCAGCAGCAGGGUCCUCAAGGGGACACACGGCUCCUGGCAGCCCCUGGCACCCCCUGCUCAUGGCCCAGGGCAGCUGCAGAAAGCUGCUUUGCUCCAGGGAAGCCGAUUACAGCUCCCUGACACCCAGGAGGGCCACACAGGCACCAGAACCCACGGUGGGGCUGGAGGCUUGGGUGCCACCUUUGCUCCGGGGGCACCAGCAGGUCCUUGGGGUGAGGGGCCAGGGGAUCAUCAGGCAGUGCUCCCUGCAUCUCUCCACCCUUCAUCCCAUCAAUGCCAGUUAAUAAUUAACAGGAGAGAGCAGGGCCAGGCCUUGGCACGAUGCCGCUGUGGCAUUAAAGCGUGUGGAAAGCCCGGUGAGCCUGUGCCUAUUGCAGGUAACAGGAGCCCCACGGAGCCUUAAUGGGCUUUGGGACCCGUUAGCUCCUUAUCCCCAGCAAUAAGCUCCUUAUCUCUGCUCCAGAACCCCCCGCAGCUCCCACAGCCCCGGCUCCUUCACCUGGGCCGUGUCAGGGCUGAGCCCCUCACCCUGAGCCAGCCCCACGGUGCCACGUGUGCUCAGCCAGCAUACACAGCACCCCGAGGCUCACGCAGGACACAGACAGGUGAGGGGACACUCACCUGUGAGGCUGCCAUGGCUGAGCUGGGGCAGCGCUCCCUGCCCCGCUCUGUCCCGCGGAGCCCCGGCACAGCCCGGCACAGGGACCGGCCCUGGGAUCGCAUCUGGCACAGGCAGGCUGGAAAGGACAGCAGGAAAACAGGGCAAGGAUGGGCCCGGCCCUCGGCACAGGAAACCACCCUCACGCUGGAGCAAAGGAAGGAAAAAGGCGAAGCAGAGUGUGGGGCAGGAUGUACGGCUGGAACGCCGGGAAUGGCACAGCUGGAACGCCGGGAAUGGCACAGCUGGAACAUCGGGAAUGGCACAGCUGGAACAUCGGGAAUGACACAGCUGGAACAUUGGGAAUGGCAUAGCUGGAACACUGAGGAUGGCACAGCUGGAACAUCAGGAAUGGCACAGCUGGAACAUCGGGAAUGACACAGCUGGAACAUUGGGAAUGGCACAGCUGGAACACCGGGAAUGGCACAGCUGGAACAUUGGGAAUGGCACAGCUGGAACACUGGGAAUGGCACAGCUGGAACACUGAGGACAGCACGGUCCCACCCUCCCACCAAGGUCAGCUCAACAGGGACAGUUCAUCACUGCUCCUCACGGUGAUGAUUCCUCACAAUCAUUUUCCAUGUGAAAAGCACUUUUCCAGGAGGGAUCUCAGCCAGCUGAGCUCCCCCGGGCUGUCACAGGGUGCUGUGCCAGGGACUCCACUUCCAAGAGCCUCUCUUCCUGGGCACAGGGCUUGGCCUCCAGCAGUCCAUCCUGGCAAAGAUUUCAUUUCCUGCUCUACAAACCCCUCAGCUCCUCCAGGGGGUACAGCCCUGACUGAGGAACCACAAUCCUGAGCACACCCAGCCUCCGUGGGGUACCAAGGAAGCCAAGGAUUCCUGCCUCAGGCCAGCCUGCAAGAACUCACCCUUUCCUGGAAGAGCUGGAAAGAGCAGAGGCUCCCAGCUUGGAGGGGCAAUAAAGCACCAGGUGUCCUCUCCCUGGGAACCUUGGUUUGGCAGUAGGAGCCCAGGGACCUUCCCACAUAAAACAGAAUCACCAGAAGCUCCCAACAGCCUUGGUACAAACCCUGUUCUGUGAGCACUGAGUGAACACAAGGCCGUUCUCACUCUUGGGGUAGUUGGCAAAGGAUAAAUCCAUUGUUCAGACUGGAACAUGAUCCUGGCUCCGGGUAAUGGCCAGGAUAAAUAAUGAGAAGUGGCUAAUUAACAAUGCUGAGGCCGGCAGGCAGUGAUUGGAACAGCACCAGGAGCCAGAGGAGCACCCACCUUCCCACACGGCUCCAGCCCAGAGCUGGGCAGGGAACCCACAGUGCCCCUUCCCUACUCCCUGCCUGCCCUGGACAGAAUUCCGAGUGGGAACCCACCUUGGGAGUGCCUCAGUUUCCAUGGCAACUUCCCCUCAGCCCAUUGCUCAAUGUUGUUCUUUUUCCAUGUAACAGCACAUCCUGCUGCUUUUUCAAACAGCUCCUUAUCCAACCGGCCCAUCCCAGCGCCAGCAGCUCUGCAGGCUGUGCUCAGCCCAGGAGGGCACAGGGCAGGGUGGGACACGACCCUGCUGGAUUCCUGGCCAGGGAAUGUGCAGCCUAGCCCGUGCUGGGGACAGUGUGGGACCCUCCUGCCCCUCAGCCCCCGCAGGAAAGGCUCAGUCCCAGCCCAGCUGCACCUGGGCCAGGAUGGCUCCCAGCUCCCCGGCCACUGUGGCUUCCUGCAGCGACAUCUGUGAUUAAAAGCUGGUAUUUUGCCUGCAAACAGCAGCUACUCAGAGCCAAGUCACGCAAUGCCUUUGAGAGAUCCAAACCCCUCAUUGCCUUGAUCAGCCUGGCCAGGACACUCACACAGCAGUGCCUGAUGCAAACACAAACAUCAGAAACCACAAACAUCAGAAACCACAUCUGAAAUUAAAAAAAGUUUAUUUGCAGAUCUGUAAAACAGCCCUGCGAAAGACCAACAUUUCCAAACACUACGAGAUGAGAAUGCAUUUUCCUAUCAUUAGAAUAUAAAAAAACAGUCACAGUCCUUCAACUACCCCAUGAAAAGCAGACAUUUAUGAA